AAAUCUCCAAGGUCAGUAUCAAUUUUGAUACGUAAAAAGUUGACAAUGUUAAACUCCUAUCUGAGAUAAGCCGGUCCUUGGCACUAGUAGUCUACAUGUUGAGACCUAAUAAAUAGACAUUGUGAGUGUCUUGCGUUCUUUAACUUUAGUAAAUCAAUUCAACUCGAAGUAGAUCUACAUCAUGAAUACAUUGGCUUGUUUUGUUGUACUACUUGGUGUGGUGUACGCUUCACCCAAGUGUACAAAAGAUGCUCAUGGCGUGUACAGAUUUAAUGGUAAACCUUGUGCCAGUACAACAAGAUACGAUGAUGGACACAGAGGAGCCUGUGGCUGUGGUCCAGCUAACUC
rnacentral:sRNA from 1 species